rnacentral:ncRNA from 1 species
UACCUUUAUUUGUCGUACGGGCAUCGAAAAUAAUCUUAUAAUAUUAUUACAUAAUAAAAUAGGUCGACAUGUAUGCCCUGUUCUGUUUAGCAGAAGAAAGACAAAGGAGGUUGGCGUACUUUAGUAAUAAAGUACAGGAG